rnacentral:rRNA from 1 species
CCGGGGGGCAGCAGUGAGGAAUAUUGGUCAAUGGGAGAGAUCCUGAACCAGCCAAGCCGCGUGAGGGAAGACGGCCCUAUGGGUUGUAAACCUCUUUUGUCGGAGAACAAAACCCGGGACGUGUCCCGGACUGCGUGUAUCCGAAGAAAAAGCAUCGGCUAACUCCGUGCCAGCAGCCGCGGUAAUACGGAGGAUGCGAGCGUUAUCCGGAUUUAUUGGGUUUAAAGGGUGCGUAGGCGGUCCGUUAAGUCAGCGGUAAAAUUGCGGGGCUCAACCCUGUCGAGCCGUUGAAACUGGCAGACUUGAGUGGGCGAGAAGUACGCGGAAUGCGCGGUGUAGCGGUGAAAUGCAUAGAUAUCGCGCAGAACUCCGAUUGCGAAGGCAGCGUACCGGCGCCAGACUGACGCUGAGGCACGAAAGCGUGGGGAUCGAACAGGAUUAGAUACCCUAGUAGUC